rnacentral:rRNA from 1 species
UAACACGUGGGGAACCUGCCCCAUAGUCUGGGGUACCACUUGGAAACAGGUGCUAAUACCGGAUAAGAAAGCGGAUCGCAUGAUCAGCUUUUAAAAGGCGGCGUAAGCUGUUGCUAUGGGAUGGCCCCGCGGUGCAUUAGCUAGUUGGUAAGGUAAAGGCUUACCAAGGCGAUGAUGCAUAGCCGAGUUGAGAGACUGAUCGGCCACAUUGGGACUGAGACACGGCCCAAACUCCUACGGGAGGCAGCAGUC